CCCUACGGGGCGCACCUUCGAAGGGGCCAAUAUGGACGGGGCGAGCCUGGCAGGGGUCAUAUGGAUGCGCAUGAACCUCUCCGGCGCCAUACUCUCCCGGGCAAACCUCCGGAAGGCCGUUCUCAACGGUUCCGACCUUUCCGGCGCCAUACUCACGGGAGCCGACCUGACCCAGGCCGUGAUGGACAACGUAAGGCUCGACGGUGCGGACCUUUCCGGCGCCGACAUCUCUCGCGCUGUCAUUCACAGGUCGUCCAUGAAGGGGGCGGACAUGAAGGGGGCGAACCUCUUUAAGUCCAUCUUCGUCGAGACGGACAUGAAGGGGGCGUCCUUCAAAAAGGCCCGGAUAUUCAAGACUUUCCUCAGGGGCUGCUCCCUGGCGGGGCAGGAUUUCCGGGGUGCCACUUUCAUCAUGGCGCAGGUGGGAGGGC
rnacentral:rRNA from 1 species